UUUCCAUGUUAACGUAACGUUGUCUAUUAAUGUCAUAGAGGGGUCGAACCGAUUCUGACCGCUCAUCCGUUUCCCUCUCGUGCGAAUUAAGAAGUGAUCCCACACCUUCGGUUCCCGCUUGGCGUCGGCAGUAAACGAACAAAAAAAAUCCCGAUACUUUGGCCAUCGUUCCAGCAGGCGUCGAUCAAGGAGAAGAAGCAAAAAAACACACACGAUUGGCAUUGAGGGGGAGGUUGCGAUCGGCUUAGUAGGGGCUGUGGGCUCCGAUUUUUGUUUCAAACUCGUUGGAUCGAUCACACACCUUGGUGAAAACUUGACAACUUCAAGAAGGGUCAAGGCUUGAAUUAGAAAGGAGAACUCGCUUCAAACAUAAGGUAUCUUAGGAGCAUGGCUUGGUGAGGUUGGGUUCCUUUUGGGUAGUUAGUUUUAAUAAAGAUGCCACCUGAACACGUUUGGUUUUUAUUUUCCUUUGAACUCCUUUUUGCAAUAAUUAAAUGGUUUAAUGUUGUUUAUGAAAAUGGUAACGUGUGGUUUUGAAAAUGUUUUGAAUUAAAAAGAAACUAAGUAUUCCGCUAACAUAUUUUGUUAAAUAAAUGUUUUAAAAAGAAAAAAAAAAUAUGGUGAAAAUCACGACGUUACACGUCCUCCUUUACUCAUUUGAAAACCAUUUUAAACUCUCUUUUGAAAACUCUCCUCGAUUUGAGACUGGAGUCACACGAGUGUUUCUCCAUUUCACUCAAACCAAGGCUCUAAUACCAACUUGUAACGACCGAAAAAAUACAACCAAUUUUAAAUUUUGCAAAAACAACUCGAUUCCAUUAAAUCUUUACAAAAAGGUUUUCAAUACAAAACAUUUAAGUAUUCCCAGAAUCACAUUACUACAAAAUCAUGAGGAACGGUACGAUCACGCCUUCGCCUUGCCACGGUCUCCUGAAGAACCUGAAAAACAUAAAACCACAACUGUAAGCCCGAAAGCUUAGUGAGAUAUCCCCAAAAUACCAACCACUUAUAACAUACACGCAUAACAUGCCACAACAUAUCUGAUCACAGAACAGCCAUGCACUUCGGGCCUACUGUGUGACUGGUCCGCUGCACCGGCCUACACUCCACCUGGUCCACCCUCUGAGUCUAGCCAUAAACCUCGAGUCUACAGUGUGAUUGGUCCGCCCGCACCGGGCCUUCAAUCCACCUGGUCCACUCUCUGAUUCUACAAUAUGACUGGUCCGCCCGCACCGGGCCUUCAGUCGGCCUGGUCCACUCUCCGAGCCUCGGCACGUCUGGUCCACCCUCUUGGGGCCUACAGCCUAUCCGGACCGCUCGCUGGGCCUUCGGAACAACCGGUCCGCCCUGGGUAUCUUGGCCUACAGCACAAAGCAGGACCCGCCUCAACCCAACUCCAGUCCAAACAACCAUGUGCACAUAUACAUACAAUCAUAUAGCAAUUCACAGUCAACAAGCAGAUCAAACAGAUCACAUAACAUAUCAUCAUCCUAACCAGGAUACCGACCUAACAGGUCACUAGCAUAGCAUCUCCCUAUCUCUCAAGAUACCGAUCUCAAUCAGGUCUCUAACAUAUACCAUCCUGGCUCUCAGGAUGCAAACAUAUCAAAGCGGUAACAUAACAACAACUACCCGGAUCUCAAUCCGAAAAGGGCCGGCCUUGGUGCCUUAGACCCUGUUGAUAUAGUGAGGAUAACUCACCUCGAAACUGCCGGCUGAAAGGAUAAGAUCCCGCUGCUCCAAACUCCGACACGAACUCCUCCACUAAACACCAAAACACUCAACUCAAUAAAUACCCUUAAUUACCAAAAUACCCCCGGAAGACAAUUGGUCAACCCUUGGACAAGGUCAAAGUCAACCCCUGACUGACUCUACUCGCCGAGUCAACCCGAUGACUCGCCGAGUCCCCAAGCUCAGGACUUCCCCCAAUCCGCGACCUAACUCGCCGAGUCACCCCGAGACUCGCCGAGUCCAACAACUCUGAGUCCACUCGCACACAACUCACCGAGUCAUCCCUUGACUCACCGAUUCUCGACUCGACCAGAAAAUAUUGGGACUCUUCGACAAGACUCGCCGAGUCCAAGAACAGACUCGCCGAGUCUAAGGCUAUCUUCAACCUACUCGUCGAGUUGUUCAUACAACUCGCCGAGUUCCACGCCAUCUUCAACCAACUCGCCAAGUUGUUCUUCCAACUCGUCAAGUUCCAGCUCAUCUUCAAGUAACUCGUCGAGUUCACCCAUGUGACUCGCCGAGUACCACCGGUCUGAAUCCAUACAGAAGCAUUCCAGGCCAUGCAAUUGAUCCACAACAUAGAUCUAGCCUCCUACAACCCAUCCAUCACAUAAAGUGGCAAACUUUACGUGAAUCCAAAGAGAUCUAGGCCUUAUACACUUUAGGGCUAGGGUUUGGGACAUGAUAGCUUCACUACACACUCAAACACAGGGACUUUCAGGCAUUCCAAACCUUCUCCAUUCCAGAUCUGAGGUAGCAACCUCAGAUCUAACCUCUAAACUCCAAAACACCAAAAAAUAAGAUCCCCACAAACCCCAUAAUGAUGAAUCCAAAGAGUAACAGCCCAAGGACGAGAUAUUACCUCAAAAGAACGCCCCAACUGCAAUGGAACUCGAAUCCAAGCAAAGCCCCUUGCUCCAAGCCUCCUACCCUUCAAGAUUUCCUCAACAAUUGCUUCUCCAAGCUCCCAAAUGCAACUUGAUCCACUCACAUACGAAGGUUAGGGUUUCUGGACUUGAGGAUGAGUAAAGAGGCUGGGGGAAUGGAUGUUAUGUUCUUUAUAUAGGGCUCAACCCCGAGAAUUAGGGUUUUCUCCGCUCAGCGCCUACUCGCCGAGUCCAUCUUACUGACUCGCCGAGUCGGCUACUUAACACACGACCAAGUCGCGACUCUACUCGUCGAGUCCACCCAUGGACUCGUCAAGUCGCUCUUUCCCAAUUUACUCUUUUAGCCCUUCAACUCUACUCUUGAUAUUUCGGGAUGUUACACAUGGAUGCUCCAUGGUGUAUUUGAACCCAUGGAUCCAAGGAAAUGGAAGGCCAUGACAAUUAGGGUUUACCCUAAUUGUAACAACUAUAUAAGAUCAUAUUCUUUGGGAAAAAUCGGCCACUAUGAAUAAUAAGAAAGGGCUAGCCGAUUUUAGGAGUGUUCAAGUUUCUCUCAAGUUAUUCCAAGUGUAUUUGGUGUUGUGUGAACCAUUUGAGGUGUCACACUUGAGGCACUAGGCACUCAAGCUUCAUGAAGACAUUCUACAUCAAAGAGAGACUUUUGAAGGAAGAAUAUUAGUUGAGAUGAUGAAUAAAAGAUGUGGAUGAAGUUUCGGGACCAUUGGCGCAUCGAGGAGGAAGUUAAGAAAAAAAUGAAGAUUUUGACUUUAUAGAGAUUUACACGGCCAUGUAAAUGAAAGCUUUGAGUUUACACGGGCCAUGUAAACACAUACUCAUGAGCAAUUAACUUUUUGUAUUUACAUGGCCAUGUAAAUGGUCAGUUAUAAUUUACACGGGCCAUGUAAACGUGUCGCCGGUUUUAAAACAGUUGAAUCAUUUGUAAAAAGAAGACAGCCAGUUCCAGGAGAAGUUAAGUCGUAUUUUGGGAGAAGAAAAGGAUUUUGGGGAGAUUUGGGAAGUGGAUAAACAUUUGGAAACACUUUAAUUUGCACUUUGUAAGUCGAAUGGAGGAUUAAACUUGUUGAAUUGUAGUUUAACUUAGACAUGUGUGGCUGAUUUCUAUUUCAUUUCUGAUUCUGAAUUCUUAAGUAUGUGUUAUUAGGUUGUAAUUUACAUUUGACUUAUGUUUAAUAUCUAGUAAUCUUUGAUUUGAUCUUAAUUAUGUGUUUGAUUGAUUCUCUUUUUCACUUGAUCAAUGAAUUAGGGUUCCAUUCAAUCUAGUUAAUCAAAUUAUAAAAUCCGUAUAUGUUUUAUGAUUUGAUGAUAGUAACAUACACUUGAUUGGUUGAAUUUAAAUCAAAAUAAGUGUAAUCAAAGAUUAAAUGUUCAUAAUCCCAAGCUUAAGAGGAAUGUUGAACAUUGUUGGUAAUUGUUGCAAGAACUCAAUGUCCUUCAAUGAUUUGAUGCAAGAACUUAUUUGAAUUGAAUCAAUUAAAGGAAUUUUUAUUUGAAGAGCAUGUUUUGAAUAAAAUACUUUUGUCAACUUAGAUAUUAGAGUUUAUUAAUAUCUAAAUUACCAACCUAGACAAAACAUGAGUC